rnacentral:rRNA from 1 species
UACGUAGGGCGCAAGCGUUGUCCGGAAUUAUUGGGCGUAAAGAGCUCGUAGGUGGCGUGUCGCGUCUGCCGUGAAAGCCCAUGGCUUAACUGUGGGUCUGCGGUGGAUACGGGCAGGCUGGAGGCUGGUAGGGGCAAGCGGAAUUCCUGGUGUAGCGGUGAAAUGCGCAGAUAUACAGGAGGAACACCGGUGGCGAAGGCGGCUUGCUGGGCCGAGUUCUGACGCUGAGGCACGAAGGCCAGGGGAGCAAACGGG